UGGGGAAUAUUGGACAAUGGGCGAAAGCCUGAUCCAGCCAUGCCGCGUGUGUGAAGAAGGUCUUCGGAUUGUAAAGCACUUUAAGUUGGGAGGAAGGGCAGUAAGCGAAUACCUUGCUGUUUUGACGUUACCGACAGAAUAAGCACCGGCUAACUCUGUGCCAGCAGCCGCGGUAAUACAGAGGGUGCAAGCGUUAAUCGGAAUUACUGGGCGUAAAGCGCGCGUAGGUGGUUCGUUAAGUUGAAUGUGAAAGCCCCGGGCUCAACCAGGGAACUGCAUCCAAAACUGGCGAGCUAGAGUAGGGCAGAGGGUGGUGGAAUUUCCUGUGUAGCGGUGAAAUGCGUGGAUAUAGGAAGGAACACCAGUGGCGAAGGCGACCACCUGGGCUCAUACUGACACUGAGGUGCGAAAGCGUGGGGGGCAAACAGG
rnacentral:rRNA from 1 species